AUGAACGCUGGCGGCGUGCCUAAUACAUGCAAGUCGAGCGAACAGACGAGGAGCUUGCUCCUCUGACGUUAGCGGCGGACGGGUGAGUAACACGUGGAUAACCUACCUAUAAGACUGGGAUAACUUCGGGAAACCGGAGCUAAUACCGGAUAAUAUAUUGAACCGCAUGGUUCAAUAGUGAAAGACGGUUUUGCUGUCACUUAUAGAUGGAUCCGUGCCGCAUUAGCUAGUUGGUAAGGUAACGGCUUACCAAGGCAACGAUGCGUAGCCGACCUGAGAGGGUGAUCGGCCACACUGGAACUGAGACACGGUCCAGACUCCUACGGGAGGCAGCAGUAGGGAAUCUUCCGCAAUGGGCGAAAGCUUGACGGAGCAACGCCGCGUGAGUGAUGAAGGUCUUCGGAUCGUAAAACUCUGUUAUUAGGGAAGAACAAAUGUGUAAGUAACUAUGCACGUCUUGACGGUACCUAAUCAGAAAGCCACGGCUAACUACGUG
rnacentral:rRNA from 1 species